AAAUAAAGGCAAAUUGUUUCAUCCCGAAGUUUCUCCUUUGGAAUAAUUGGAGGAAUAGAACAUUAUAUAUUCAAUACGGUUGCGGUUUACUUUCUAGUUCACAAGGUCGAAGUUUCACUUCUCCGUAUUUCUGAGCCUAUCGCCAUUUCAUUUUGAACCAUACAACCAUCAUUAGUUUUAGACGAAAUACUCAUUGGAAGAGAACCAGGGAUUGAUGUGAUGCUUCUGAACUUGUAUGUACGUUGUGAAUUUUUAAAAAAAAAAGUAGUUAUAAUCGAUGCUUCAACAGCAAGGUACCAGCUAUGGGUUUCGGUCGCGGGAUUAAAAAAGAACGCAGAUAUAAAGGUUGAAUAAAUCCAACAAUAGAUGUAUAAUAAUUUUUAACGUUGUUUCCUUCAUAAAAAAUGACAAUAAAUUAAGAUUAGACCUCAUCAGACGCCACUGCUCUGAAGCAAUGUGGGAGCCAGGUCAAAUAGCCAUCAACAUUGAAAUAGAGAGAAAGGAAGCACAGUUUUACUUGAAUUGGCUGGUUUUGAACUUGAAGGAUCUUUACUUUGAACUUGGCUUGAGGUGCACAGCUCGGAAUUCUGAAUUAUCUACGUUAAAAGGCUCUGUACUCACCUCAAACGCGGGCAAAACUGGAACACGAAUAAGAUGAACCACUCCCCUGCACCUUAUCAAUAGAUUCCUCCCGCUUUAUAAUCCACAAUCUUUCAAAAUUGGCCGGUACCGCAGCAUACACAGGUGCGAUGGAAUCGCAAAGCCGUUUCUCCAUCCAGUGCCCAGUUGGCGUACCUUUCCGAACGCAAAAGCGAGAGUCUUCUAAUUGCGCCUAAUCUUUGUCAAGUUCACAUAUUCCAAGCCCAUCGUGUGAUGCUGUUGUCUCCCAGAUGAUCAUUCAGGACCCACACACGUAGCCUGUGUGCCCACUAAACUUACAAUGUGACAAAAUGACUGAAUCCCUUUCAGCUGAAAGAACAUAU
rnacentral:lncRNA from 1 species